rnacentral:tRNA from 1 species
GGGCCCGUCGUUCAAUGGUAGUGACCGGACUCUUAUAAAGUCCUGACGAUGGUUCGAUUCCAUCCGGGCCCA